CGGUCCUUGACAUACUAAGAACUUUCCAGAGAUGGAUUGGUGCCUUCGGGAACUUAGAUACAGGUGCUGCAUGGCUGUCGUCAGCUCGUGUCGUGAGAUGUUGGGUUAAGUCCCGCAACGAGCGCAACCCUUUUCCUUAUUUGCCAGCGGGUCAUGCCGGGAACUUUAAGGAUACUGCCAGUGACAAACUGGAGGAAGGCGGGGACGACGUCAAGUCAUCAUGGCCCUUACGGCCAGGGCUACACACGUGCUACAAUGGUCGGUACAAAGGGUUGCUACCUCGCGAGAGGAUGCUAAUCUCAAAAAGCCGAUCGUAGUCCGGAUCGCAGUCUGCAACUCGACUGCGUGAAGUCGGAAUCGCUAGUAAUCGCGGAUCAGAAUGCCGCGGUGAAUACGUUCCCGGGCCUUGUACACACCGCCCGUCACACCAUGGGAGUUUGUUGCACCAGAAGUAGGUAGUCUAACCGCAAGGAGGACGCUUACCACGGUGUGGCCGAUGACUGGGGUGAAGUCGUAACAAGGUAGGCGUAGAUGA
rnacentral:rRNA from 1 species